rnacentral:tRNA from 1 species
GCUGGAGUGGUGAAAUUGGUAGACACGCAGCGUUCAGAGCGCUGUAGGGGCAACCCUAUGGAGGUUCAAAUCCUCUCUCCAGCA